rnacentral:lncRNA from 1 species
GGGAUGUCCCCACGAGGUGACCCCAAGGAGGUGGCUUCGAGGAGGUGGCCUCCAUGGAAGGUGUCCCCAAGGAGGUGGCCUCCAUGGGGACGUCCCCAUGGGGUGUCACCAAAGGGAUGUCCCCAAGGAGGUGACCUCCGUGGAGGUCACCCCAUUGAGGUGGCUUCAAGGAGGUGGCCUUGAUGGGUUGGCCUUGAUGGGGUGGCCCCAAGGAGGUGGCCCCAAGGGACGUCCCCAUGGGGUGUCACCAAAGGGGUGGCCCCAAGGAGGUGGCCUCCAUGAGAUGUCCCCACGAGGUGACCCCAAAGAGGUGGCUUCAAGGAGGUGGGCUCGAUGGGGACGUCCCCACGGGGUGUCACCAAAGGGAUGUCCCCAAGGAGGGGGCUUCAAGGAGGUGGGCUCGAUGGGGACGUCCCCACGGGGUGUCACCAAAGGGAUGUCCCCAAGGAGGGGGCUUCAAGGAGGUGGGCUCGAUGGGGACGUCCCCACGGGGUGUCACCAAAGGGAUGUCCCCAAGGAGGGGGCUUCAAGGAGGUGGGCUCGAUGGGGACGUCCCCACGGGGUGUCACCAAAGGGGUGGCCCCAAGGAGAUGACUUCAAGGAGGUGGCCUCCAUGGAGAUGUCCCCAUGAGGUGACCCCAAGGAGGUGGCUUCGAGGAGGUGGCCUCCAUGGAAGGUGUCCCCAAGGAGGUGGCCUCGAUGGGGACGUCCCCAUGGGGUGUCACCAAAGGGGUGGCCCCAAGGAGGUGGCCUCCCUGGAGAUGUCCCCACGAGGUGACCCCAAGGAGGUGGCUUCAAGGAGGUGGCCUCCAUGGAAGGUGUCCCCAAGGAGGUGGCCUCCAUGGGGACAUCCCCAUGGGGUGUCAUCAAAGGGAUGUCCCCAAGGAGGUGGCCUCCAUGGGAUGUCCCCACGAGGUGACCCCAAGGAGGUGGCUUCAAGGAGGUGGCCUCCAUGGAAGGUGUCCCCAAGGAGGUGGCCUCCAUGGGGACAUCCCCAUGGGGUGUCAUCAAAGGGAUGUCCCCAAGGAGGUGGCCUCCAUGGGAUGUCCCCACGAGGUGACCCCAAGGAGGUGGCUUCGAGGAGGUGGCCUCCAUGGAAGGUGUCCCCAAGGAGGUGGCCUCCAUGGGGACGUCCCCAUGGGGUGUCACCAAAGGGAUGUCCCCAAGGAGGUGGCCUCCAUGGAGGUGACCCCAUUGAGGUGGCUUCAAGGAGGUGGCCCCAAGGGACAUCCCCAUGGGGUGUCACCAAAGGGGUGACCCCAAGGAGGUGUCCCCAAGGGAUGUCCCCACGAGGUGACCCCAAGGAGGUGGCUUCAAGGAGGUGGUGGCCUCCACGGGAUGUCCCCAAGGAGAUGUCCCUCAACGAGGAGCGGGUCCCUUGGGGGUGUCCCCCCUCCCUUUU